rnacentral:rRNA from 1 species
AACGAACGCUGGCGGCGUGGAUAAGACAUGCAAGUCGAGCGGGAACUUUCGCUGUAGCAAUACAGUGAAAGUUCUAGCGGCGAACGGGUGCGUAACACGUGGACAAUCUGCCUUAAAGUGGGGGAUAGCUCGGCGAAAGCCGAAUUAAUACCGCAUGUGAUGAGAGACGACAUCGUCUUGAAAUCAAAGCCGGGCAACCUGGCGCUUUUUGAGGAGUCCGCGGCCAUCAGCUAGUUGGUGAGGUAACGGCCCACCAAGGCUAUGACGGGUAGCUGGUCUGAGAGGACGACCAGUCACACUGGAACUGAGAAACGGCCCAGACUCCUACGGGAGGCAGCAGUGGGAAUCUUGCGCAAUGUCUAACGACUGACGCAGCGACGCCGCGUGAGGGA